AUUGAACGCUGGCGGCAGGCUUAACACAUGCAAGUCGAACGAUGAUUAUCUAGCUUGCUAGAUAUGAUUAGUGGCGGACGGGUGAGUAACAUUUAGGAAUCUGCCUAGUAGUGGGGGAUAGCUCGGGGAAACUCGAAUUAAUACCGCAUACGACCUACGGGUGAAAGGGGGCGCAAGCUCUUGCUAUUAGAUGAGCCUAAAUCAGAUUAGCUAGUUGGUGGGGUAAAGGCCCACCAAGGCGACGAUCUGUAACUGGUCUGAGGGGAUGAUCAGUCACACCGGAACUGAGACACGGUCCGGACUCCUACGGGAGGCAGCAGUGGGGAAUAUUGGACAAUGGGGGCAACCCUGAUCCAGCCAUGCCGCGUGUGUGAAGAAGGCCUUUUGGUUGUAAAGCACUUUAAGCAGGGAGGAGAGGCUAAUGGUUAAUACCCAUUAGAUUAGACGUUACCUGCAGAAUAAGCACCGGCUAACUCUGUGCCAGCAGCCGCGGUAAUACAGAGGGUGCGAGCGUUAAUCGGAAUUACUGGGCGUAAAGCGAGUGUAGGUGGCUCAUUAAGUCACAUGUGAAAUCUCCGGGCUUAACCUGGGAACUGCAUGUGAUACUGGUGGUGCUAGAAUAUGUGAGAGGGAAGUAGAAUUCCAGGUGUAGCGGUGAAAUGCGUAGAGAUCUGGAGGAAUACCGAUGGCGAAGGCAGCUUCCUGGCAUAAUAUUGACACUGAGAUUCGAAAGCGUGGGUAGCAAACAGGAUUAGAUACCCUGGUAGUCCACGCCGUAAACGAUGUCUACUAGCCGUUGGGGUCCUUGAGACUUUAGUGGCGCAGUUAACGCGAUAAGUAGACCGCCUGGGGAGUACGGCCGCAAGGUUAAAACUCAAAUGAAUUGACGGGGGCCCGCACAAGCGGUGGAGCAUGUGGUUUAAUUCGAUGCAACGCGAAGAACCUUACCUGGUCUUGACAUAGUGAGAAUCCUGCAGAGAUGCGGGAGUGCCUUCGGGAAUUCACAUACAGGUGCUGCAUGGCUGUCGUCAGCUCGUGUCGUGAGAUGUUGGGUUAAGUCCCGCAACGAGCGCAACCCUUUUCCUUAUUUGCCAGCGGGUUAAGCCGGGAACUUUAAGGAUACUGCCAGUGACAAACUGGAGGAAGGCGGGGACGACGUCAAGUCAUCAUGGCCCUUACGACCAGGGCUACACACGUGCUACAAUGGUAGGUACAGAGGGUUGCUACACAGCGAUGUGAUGCUAAUCUCAAAAAGCCUAUCGUAGUCCGGAUUGGAGUCUGCAACUCGACUCCAUGAAGUCGGAAUCGCUAGUAAUCGCAGAUCAGAAUGCUGCGGUGAAUACGUUCCCGGGCCU
rnacentral:rRNA from 1 species